AACCUGGUUGAUCCUGCCAGUAGUGUACGCUUCUCCUAAAGACUAAGCCAUGCAUGCAUCCGAAUAAGAGGAAGCAAUUCUCUCUGAAUCUGCGAACGGCUCCGCACACCAGUUGUAAACUAUAGCAAGUUCGCUCGGCAUCCGGCCCUCACGGGUUGGGAGCCGGGCUCCAAGGAUAACCCUGGUAAUUCUGAGGCUAAUACGAGACCGUAAAACCUGGCUGACGGGCAACCGGAGGCCGGGGGACGUGUGUUGUUGUGCAAGAAGAUUGCCGGGAAAGGAGACACGUUCAGACCGCGACAAAGACGGAUCGGCUUCGGCCGGCCCGAGCGGCUCUUGCAAUGUGCUUCUGACCUAUCAACUAGAUGGCAGCGUAAGGGACAUGCUAUGGUUGCAACGGGUACAGAGGAUUAGGGUUCGAUCCUGGAGAGUGGGCCUGAGAGAUUGCUCAUACUUCUAAGGAAGGCAGCAGGCGCGCAACGUUCCCAUUGGACAAUGUCCGAGGGCGUUAGGGGACAUAUGAAUGCCUGCCAUUGGUGGGCAAUNNNNNNNNNNNNNNNNNNNNNNNNNNNUCGAGUAACAAUUAGAGGACA
rnacentral:rRNA from 1 species